GGGAGAAAGGGAGUACUUGUGGCACCUUGGAGACUGGCCAGUUUAUUUGAGCAUGGGCUUUCGUGGGCUGCAGCUCACGUCAUCCGAUGAGGUGAGCUCGUGGCUCAUGAGGGCUCAUGCUCAAAUGGAUUGGUUGGUCUCUGGGGUGCCGCAAGUACUCCUUUUCUUUUUGCAAAUACAGACUAACUCGGCUGUUACUCUGAAACCUUUUUAGCAAAGCUGGG